UUAAGCUACAAAGAGCACACGGAGGAUGCCUUGGCACCAAGAGCCGAUGAAGGACGUUGUGACCUGCGAUAAGCCCUGGGGAGUUGGUGAGCGAGCUGUGAUCCGGCGAUUUCCGAAUGGGGAAACCCAGUGUGUUUCGACACACUAUCAUUAACUGAAUCCAUAGGUUAAUGAGGCGAACCGGGGGAACUGAAACAUCUAAGUACCCCGAGGAAAAGAAAUCAACCGAGAUUCCCCCAGUAGCGGCGAGCGAACGGGGAGCAGCCCAAACCAAGGAGCUUGCUCCUUGGGGUUGUGGGACGUCUCACAUGGAGUUACAAAGGAACCGGUUAGAUGAAGAGGUCUGGGCCCUGUAGUUCAAAACUUGUUCUCUCCGAGACGGAUCCCGAGUAGCGUGGGACUCGUGGAAUUCCGUGUGAAUCUGGCGGGACCACCCGUCAAGCCUAAAUACUCCUUGGUGACCGAUAGUGGAUGAGUACCGUGAGGGAAAGGUGAAAAGUACCCCGGGAGGGGAGUGAAAUAGUUCCUGAAACCGUGUGCUUACAAGCAGUCAGAGCCCUAUUUAUGGGUGAUGGCGUGCCUUUUGUAGAAUGAACCGGCGAGUUACGUUCCCGUGCAAGGUUAAGGUGAAGAGCUGAAGCCGUAGCGAAAGCGAGUCUGAAUAGGGCGAAUGAGUUCGUGGACGUAGACCCGAAACCGGGUGAUCUACCCAUGACCAGGUUGAAGGUUGGGUAACACUAACUGGAGGACCGAACCGACUAAUGUUGAAAAAUUAGCGGAUGACUUGUGGCUGGGGGUGAAAGGCCAAUCAAACCGGGAGAUAGCUGGUUCUCCCCGAAAUAGCUUUAGGGCUAGCCUCGGAAAAAAGAAUCGUGGAGGUAGAGCACUGAUUGGGUGCGGGGCCCGCAAGGGUUACCAAGCUCAGUCAAACUCCGAAUGCCAUAGAUUUAGUUCCGGGAGUCAGACAGUGAGUGCUAAGAUCCAUCGUCGAGAGGGAAACAGCCCAGACCAUCAGCUAAGGUCCCAAAGUCAUGGUUAAGUGGGAAACGAUGUGGGAAGGCCCAGACAGCCAGGAUGUUGGCUUAGAAGCAGCCAUCAUUUAAAGAAAGCGUAAUAGCUCACUGGUCGAGUCGGCCUGCGCGGAAGAUGUAACGGGGCUAAACCAUGCACCGAAGCUGCGGCAGCGACGCUUAUGCGUUGUUGGGUAGGGGAGCGUUGAAUGCGGGUUGAAGGUGUACCGUAAGGAGCGCUGGACUGCAUUCAAGUGAGAAUGCCGGUAUGAGUAACGAAAAGAUCUGUGAGAAUCAGAUCCGCCGAAAGCCUAAGGGUUCCUGAGGAAGGUUCGUCCGCUCAGGGUAAGUCGGGACCUAAGGCGAGGCCGAUAGGCGUAGUCGAAGGACAACAGGUCGAAAUUCCUGUACCACCGUAAUCCGUUAUGAGCAAUGGGGUGACGCAGUAGGGUAGUGACGCGGACUGAUGGAUGUCCGUCUAAGCAGUGAGGCUGGUGUGUAGGCAAAUCCGCACAUCGUAAGGCUGGGCUGUGAUGGGGAGCGAAAAUUGUAGUAGCGAAGGUCAUGAUCGCAGACUGCCAAGAAAAGCCUCUAGCCAGGAGAAGGUGCCCGUACCGCAAACCGACACAGGUGGGCGAGAAGAGAAUUCUAAGGCGCGCGGGAGAACUCUGGUUAAGGAACUCGGCAAAAUGGCCCCGUAACUUCGGGAGAAGGGGUGCCUCGGUAGGGUGAAUAGCCCGAGGGGGCCGCAGUGAAAAGGCCCAAGCGACUGUUUAGCAAAAACACAGGUCUGUGCGAAGACGUAAGUCGACGUAUACGGUGUGACGCCUGCCCGGUGCCGGAAGGUUAAUUGAUGGGGUUAGCCGCAAGGCGAAGCUCUUGAUCGAAGCCCCGGUAAACGGCGGCCGUAACAAUAACGGUCCUAAGGUAGCGAAAUUCCUUGUCGGGUAAGUUCCGACCUGCACGAAUGGCGUAAUGAUGGCCAGGCUGUCUCCACCCGAGACUCAGUGAAAUUGAACUCGCUGUGAAGAUGCAGUGUACCCGCGGCAAGACGGAAAGACCCCGUGAACCUUUACUAUAGCUUGACACUGAACAUUGAGCCUUGAUGUGUAGGAUAGGUGGGAGGCUUUGAAGUGUGGACGCCAGCUUGAGAGGAGGCAUCC
rnacentral:rRNA from 1 species